rnacentral:rRNA from 1 species
CCCUUAGAUGUUCUGGGCCGCACGCGUGCUACACUGAUGCAUUCAACGAGUCUAAAACCUGGUCUGAUAGGGCUGGGUAAUCUUUUGAAAGUGCAUCGUGAUUGGGAUAGAUGAUUGCAAUUCUUCAUCUUCAACGAGGAAUGCCUAGUAAACGCAAGUCAUCAGCUUGCAUUGAUUACGUCCCUGCCCUUUGUACACACCGCCCGUCGCUCCUACCGAUUGAAUGCUCCGAUGAAUACCAUGGAUUGAGAGUACGAAUAGGUUCGCUUAUUUCUGCUGCUCGAGAAGUGGAGUAAAUCUUAUCAUUUAGAGGAAGGAGAAGUCGUAACA